AUUGAACGCUGGCGGCGUGCUUAACACAUGCAAGUCGAUCGGUAACGCGGGGGCAACCCUGGCGACGAGAGGCGGACGGGUGAGGAACGCUUGGGAAUCUGCCUAUCAGCGGGGGACAACACGGGGAAACUCGUGCUAAUACCGCAUACGCUCUACGGAGGAAAGCCGGGGACCGCAAGGCCUGGCACUGAUAGAUGAGCCCAAGCCGGAUUAGCUAGUUGGCGGGGUAACGGCCCACCAAGGCGACGAUCCGUAGCUGGUCUGAGAGGACGAUCAGCCACACUGGAACUGAGACACGGUCCAGACUCCUACGGGAGGCAGCAGUGGGGAAUAUUGGACAAUGGGGGAAACCCUGAUCCAGCGACGCCGCGUGGGUGAAGAAGGCCUGCAGGUUGUAAAGCCCUUUCGGUAGGGACGAAAGCUCUCGACCUAACACGUCGGGAGGUUGACUUAACCUACAAAAGAAGCACCGGCUAACUCUGUGCCAGCAGCCGCCGUAAGAC
rnacentral:rRNA from 1 species